rnacentral:rRNA from 1 species
AUUGAACGCUGGCGGCAGGCCUAACACAUGCAAGUCGAACGGUAGCACAGAGAGCUUGCUCUUGGGUGACGAGUGGCGGACGGGUGAGUAAUGUCUGGGAAACUGCCCGAUGGAGGGGGAUAACUACUGGAAACGGUAGCUAAUACCGCAUAACGUCUUCGGACCAAAGUGGGGGACCUUCGGGCCUCACACCAUCGGAUGUGCCCAGAUGGGAUUAGCUAGUAGGUGGGGUAAUGGCUCACCUAGGCGACGAUCCCUAGCUGGUCUGAGAGGAUGACCAGCCACACUGGAACUGAGACACGGUCCAGACUCCUACGGGAGGCAGCAGUGGGGAAUAUUGCACAAUGGGCGCAAGCCUGAUGCAGCCAUGCCGCGUGUAUGAAGAAGGCCUUCGGGUUGUAAAGUACUUUCAGCGGGGAGGAAGGCGAUGGAGUUAAUAGCUUCAUCGAUUGACGUUACCCGCAGAAGAAGCACCGGCUAACUCCGUGCCAGCCGCCGCGGUAA